GGCACACCAUCCCUCUUGGCCAAGUCGCGUGGAAAGGCAUCCAAGACACGCUUGGUCUUGGAUGACUUGCUGAAAGAAGCCCCAGGAUGGCCAUCUCUUUUGCAUGGUUUCGAGUGACACUGAGUCUCGACUGAUGCCAACGCUGUUUGUAUCCCGCAGCGGAGGAAAGAUCAUGGAUUUUCUGGAAGAAGUAGACUUGCUGCUACCAAGUGUGCGUGUCAUGGUUCUAUACACUGUGGAACCAACGAUAUGCCACUUUUGGACCCCCGGGAGGUAUACUCCCACUACCAGCGACUCCUCAACAAGAUCCGAGACCGAGGUGGAAUAGAAAUGACGGUUUGCACGUUAGUGCUCCCUCGCUCUCAUAACAGGCGGCGCCACCAGUUCAGGCGAAGGGCCCUCGACUAACCGCCGACUGGUCCAGCUUUGCCGGAACUCCACCGACCUCUGCUACCUGGACCACGAAUUUCACCGACGACCAACCGAGGUCCUUGCAGCUGACGGCCUCCAUCCAAACUUCGAGGGAGUUCGGAUGAUCAGCCGACAUCUGCUGGACCUGCUUCCGCGACUUCGACGGCUCCUACCAUCAUGCCGACCCAACGUGACUGCUGUUCCGGAUCCAGUGUGGCCUACCCCUCAGCAGGCAGCUACUCUGGAACGACGAUGGCAGAAUAUAAGACCAUCGCCGCUAGUCUGACUAAACGCCGUUAUGCCCUCAGUACAGCUUACCCUGAGCUGGCUCCCCAAGAAAGAUGACAUCACCACCCGGACUUGACCUUGCGGAAUGUUCCAGAAUAUGACUCACGGACAACUGCCACGUGGCAUACUUGCACCGAUUGUGACGUCACUCAGGGAACCUAUUUAAGCAAUAUGCAACCCUUGCACCUCUUUUGUCCUGACGAAGACAGUGCCACUGUCAAAAUGUCGACCAUUCUUUUUUUUAAAUUACCGAUUAGAUAAAUUAGUUUUUGUUAACGUUCCUGUAAUCUGUAGUCCACGUCUUAUUAUUUCACUUUUAUUCAACUUCGUAGC